CGAAUGCUGACGUGAGUAACGACAAAACGGGUGAAAAACCCGUUCGCCGAAAGACCAAGGGUUCCAGUCCAACGUUAAUCGGGGCUGGGUGAGUCGACCCCUAAGGCGAGGCCGAAAGGCGUAGUCGAUGGGAAAAUGGUUAAUAUUCCAUUACUUCUGUGUAAUGCGAUGAGAGGACGGAGAAGGCUAAAUCAGCCUGGCGUUGGUUGUCCAGGUGAAAGGAUGUAGGCAUGUAUCUUAGGCAAAUCCGGGGUACUCUAUGCUGAGAUCUGAUAGCAAGCUGUACUUGUACAGCGAAGUGGUUGAUGCCAUGCUUCCAGGAAAAGUCUCUAAGCUUCAGUUACACAGGAAUCGUACCCGAAACCGACACAGGUGGUCAGGUCGAGUAGACCAAGGCGCUUGAGAGAACUCUGCUGAAGGAACUAGGCAAAAUGGUACCGUAACUUCGGGAGAAGGUACGCUGUUGUUGGUGAUGGAACUCGCUUCCUGAGCUGACGACAGCCGCAGAAACCAGGCCGCUGCAACUGUUUAUUAAAAACAUAGCACUCUGCAAACACGAAAGUGGACGUAUAGGGUGUGAUGCCUGCCCGGUGCUGGAAGGUUAAUUGAUGGGGUUAGCGUAAGCGAAGCUCUUGAUCGAAGCCCCAGUAAACGGCGGCCGUAACUAUAACGGUCCUAAGGUAGCGAAAUUCCUUGUCGGGUAAGUUCCGACCUGCACGAAUGGCAUAAUGAUGGCGGCGCUGUCUCCAGCAGAGGCUCAGUGAAAUCGAAAUCGCUGUGAAGAUGCAGUGUACCCGCGGCUAGACGGAAAGACCCCGUGAACCUUUACUGCAGCUUGACACUGAACUUUGACCUUACUUGUGUAGGAUAGGUGGGAGGCUUUGAAGCUGGAACGCUAGUUCCAGUGGAGCCGUCCUUGAAAUACCACCCUGGUAAUGUUGAGGUUCUAACUCUGUCCCGUGAUCCGGGACGAGGACCGUGUCUGGUGGGUAGUUUGACUGGGGCGGUCUCCUCCUAAAGAGUAACGGAGGAGUACGAAGGUGCGCUCAGCGUGGUCGGAAAUCACGCGUAGAGUAUAAAGGCAAAAGCGCGCUUAACUGCGAGACCCACAAGUCGAGCAGGUACGAAAGUAGGUCUUAGUGAUCCGGUGGUUCUGUAUGGAAGGGCCAUCGCUCAACGGAUAAAAGGUACUCUGGGGAUAACAGGCUGAUACCGCCCAAGAGUUCAUAUCGACGGCGGUGUUUGGCACCUCGAUGUCGGCUCAUCUCAUCCUGGGGCUGAAGCAGGUCCCAAGGGUAUGGCUGUUCGCCAUUUAAAGAGGUACGCGAGCUGGGUUUAGAACGUCGUGAGACAGUUCGGUCCCUAUCUACCGUGGGCGCUGGAAAUUUGAGAGGAUCUGCUCCUAGUACGAGAGGACCAG
rnacentral:rRNA from 1 species